UCAGAAGCAAGCAAGAAGGAGAAAAACAGGCUGAUCAGUAACAAUAAUCAUUGCUUUGGUCUGGGAUGUUUCCUUACAAUUUUGUUUCGAAAAUGAUUUGUUUUUCAGCAUACCGAAAAAGUGGCAAAUACAGAGUGCUUGGAUGAUGAGACCCAGUACCAUAUCUUGAAAAGGCUCUUACUGCAUGAAAGGCACCUUUGGGAAACAUGGCUUGGGGGAAAAAAUGAAGAGGAAGAAACAGAUCAAAGAGGUUCAAAUCAUCUUUUCCCCUUCAUAUUUCUCAUGCUUCCAAAGAGCAGCACUGAAGUACAAGCCUGGAAAAGAGGAUGCCUGGAUGUACCUUUCAGCUGCUGCAAGGAUUUGGAGCCCCAGGGAGGUUUGGGCUGGAAAGCUUCCAGGAAGAAAGACGCAGUCCUGCUGAGCAGAGGUCCCAGGCAAGCAAGCAAAGGUUACCAACAAGGUCCCCGCAGCUUGUUAGACUCGCCCAACCUCCAGUGCCUUUGGCUGCCUUUGGUGUUUCUCUACAUGAGAUGGAUUAAAAACCUCAUAUCCCAGAACGUGAGCAUGAUACCAGAGGAAAGAGGCUCCCACUCCCAGUGAAAUGGACAGAGUAACUGACACUUUGUGUGGUUGGGAACUUUCAUAAGUGUUUUUUUGGCCGGGUUUCAUAAGCACUUUUUUAUCCAGGGUUACAGAGUUACAAGUCGCUGAUGUGUUUGCGGUGUUAAGGCUGAAGGCUGCACCUCUGAUGUUAAUUGAAUCCUGUGAUCCCUAGCAUGCCCUUGCAACACCAAUAACUGAAACAUCUGGCAGAGCCAGCACAAGUGCAUUAGAGCCCUGGUUCCAACAGCAAUUAAAAAAGGGGGGAGAAAAAGAGAAAAAGCCAAUUACAUGUAAUUGGAUUCAGUAAACUGAAUUAUCUCACUAUUAAAGCGGUGCUUGUUUUUCAGAUAGUGGGACAUUAAAACUAUCAAAAGCAUUAAUUGAUUCAUCCCUUUUUUCAAGUGCUUUCCCAACAGUGCCUCUAUUCAAGAGCUGCAACCUUUUGUUCGCAUGGGGAGUCUGAAUUAUACAGACCAUGUUUAUAUCUUGGUAGCUCUAUUCAUUCUGACUUUUUUGUCAUGUUGGUGUUUUAACUCAAAAAUGAGCUGAAACUCCUGCAAAACAUAAUGGAAGGUUUAUUUCUUCUUUUGUGGUGCCUUCACUGUAGCUGGAGGUGUAAUUUAACAAGGGAGAGAGGGAGGGGGAUGUUUUGAGGCUGAUUCUUAGUCAUUCAGGUCUCGCACGUGGGAGCUGUGUGGAUGGGUAGGAAGCCAAAAGGAGCCAGGCGCCUUCUCUGUGCUGCUGUGUUAUGCUGCUUGGCAGACGUCUGUUCUCCGUAGCACCUUUUAGCACAGCUCCAAGGUUGCAUAAGGCAAAUUCCUCUUCCUAUGCCCUCUGCAGCCACCUUUCAACAAAGGAUGCUCAGAAACCCAAAGAAUUUCGGGGCCACCACUGACCCCAGGGGCUCAGAGCAGUGCUGUCAGAAGACCCCUUACACCCGUAGCCAGGGAUGUCAGGGAGUUGCUCUGUGCCCCAGUGGAACAUUUGUCGCCAUGCAUGAUUGAGGGUGAGGCCCCCUCCAUCUUUCUUUCUGCCUUACUAAAUGGGUACUGAAUGCUGGAAAAGUCAGCCAUGAGAAUAAGUCAGAUCCAAUGAGUUAUUUAGGCAAAUUGAAAGCAUUAUGUCAAUUUGAUGGGAAGCGUUUCAGGCCAGAAUGGUACUAUUGGCAUUUUCUUCCUUCUGAAUCAAUAGCUCCUAAAGGAUUACAAUUUAAUUUUUAAAGGGUAAUUCAAUCAAGAAUUUGAAAACACAGGACAUUCUUAAAAUUAAACUUUAAUCAGAUUUAUUUAUUUUUUAAAAUUGUACUUGCGGAAAAAGAAGAACAAUUUCCAAACUGUCCUUCACCUUGGACUUCAAGGGGCAAUUCUCUCUAGUAUCCCUAGCAAGAAUCUGUCCCCUGUGCUUACUUCGAGUUGCUCUUGUUUAUGCCAGUUCUACUCAGACAUGUUUCUGUUAAUGCCCUGAAAAGACAUCUUGCUAAAAAAAAAAAAAACACCAAAGACUUGGCUGAGGUUUUCAAUGGUUACUGCCCCCUGCACCGGCUGAUCUCUGGUUUAUUCUGGGCAAUGCCACAGUUUGAAAGCCACUUAAGCAGCAUGAGAUUCCCUCAAAUGCCGAUUUGGAAAACUUGAAGCAGGUAUAAAUACCUGUGUUUUAAUCGCUAUGCCUCAGUCCGAAGUUUAGAUCCUCAGAACUGUUUGUCUGUAGAUGCCUAAGCCGUGAGUCACCAGAGUUUUGCAGGUACCGAAGUGGUUUUGUGUGCCGUGUUGUAUAUCCUGGUGCAGAAACUUUCACCUCUCGGCUCCCUCCUGGCACAGAGCAGCUCCGCUGGGAUAGAGCAGCACAAGCCCAGAAGGACACCUGCCUUCAUCCCUGCCCCACCUGCUUCGGCCCUGCGAGAGCACAACUUCUGGUUCAUGCUGGCUUUUAGGGAGUUGUCUUGGGUCUCGGCGUCUUUGCGAUUGGCUCCACAUUUCAGGUGGUAAAAUCCUCCCCAUUCCUAAAUGUCAGCUGCAGGCCUUCUGCAGCAUUGCAGCUGCUAAGCACAGACUCACCCCAACUCCCACAGGACCCCAGGCAGCGGUCCUUCCUCUGCAUAGCCCUUCUGUUGGGUCUGAUCCAGAAGCUGUCUUCUAAAAGAGCCUGUCCAAGUGUCCUACGCCACAUCAGAACACAUCUGGAAGGAGGAUGGAGCUACAGUGGUGUAUUGGGCAUAAUCUGCAGGGGUUCAGUAGCAGGGGGCUGCCGCGGUGACCUGUGCGGGAGGAGGCCGUGAUCUGCCCGGUGCCAGUCCCAGGCAGCUCCAGCCAGAGCUGUGAAAGAGAUGAGAACGACCCACUGCGUGCCAGAGCUUCAGCCAGGCACAGCAGCACCGGCACCUCUGCAAAAAUACUUGGGGAAAAAGUGGCAGCCUCUGGGGGUGAGAGACAAAAGGAGAUACGAGAGGAUGCCUGGGAGGAGACACGUGAGAGGACGCACAAGGCAAGAAAGGGAAGAGAUGAAUAGAUGUUGUGAGACAUGAGAGAAGAAAAUGGAGAAAUGGAGGGGACCCAUGGAAGAAAACACUGGAGAGCCAGCUGGAGAUGCACUUUUGGAAGGAAGCGCUCCAUGUCAGAGGAGGUACCUGUGACAUAUCGGGGUCUUUGUGGUCUGUGAGCAGGUACACCUCCAGAGCCAUCCCUGCUGUGCCCCGUGGGGCUGGCCAGAGGCCACUGGAUUAGGAAGCAUCUGAACGACAGGUGUAAGGACUUCACCAGUGCUUGAUUGCAGAACUGAUGUCCUAAAAGUAGCAGAGGACUUUGCUCAAGUGUUUAAUCUGCAUCUCUAGGCAUCCGAGGCAGAUGCCAGGACUGUGAAGACAUCUUGCCUUAUUGGUUAGCCCCUGACUUCAGCAGAAGUAACGUGUUAAAGCCUGGGGCUGCGGAGGGGUUGCACAGGGAGCCAUUAGCAACCGGGUGGGAAUUGCAGUCUUGGCAGAUGAUGCAGUCAGGACACAAGGGAUGCUGAUCUCAUAGGAGGGCAUGACACAGAAGUGGCAAAGAGCACUCAGAACUGUUCUGGGGACUAAAACUUUCCAGAUAAACCAGAUCAUUUUUUCUCCAGUUCUUCCAUGAUUUUUUUAUUAAGUGCUUCUUCUAAUAUUUUUCAUAAUUUACUUCCCAGGUCCUAAUUCUGCUGCACUUUGGAAUUAAGAACCUAUGUCCAUUCAGUGGUAGUAACUCUGAAAUCAAAUUACUGAUAAUCACAACAGCUUUCCAUUUGCAGAAGUCACAGUGACACUGCAGAAAGCAACGGGUGAUGAAACGCUGCUGUGGUACGCCCUCACCUCAGUACAGCAAGACGUGUUCUCUCAAAAGCAAUGAUUCCUUUAGAUUUCAUUAGAAACCCUCAUUCAGAGAACCCUCCUCUAAAUAAUGUGUACCUGACACUUUUUGUCAUGCAAGCCACACAGCGAUCAAGGACACUUUAGGUGGAGUAGUGAAAUAGGGUGACACAUGGCACGGGGAAACGAUAAUGAAGAUAAUUAUGAAGAUAAGGUCCCUUUGGGAAACCAUUGUACUAAAUGCCUCAGAAAAUCUGAACUACCAAGAGGUUUUUCCAUAACCACUCUUUUCAUGAAGAAGUACUUACACGUCCCAGAACAUCAAGGUUAAAAAUGCUGCCUGCUUCAUUAUUUUAAGACAAUGGAUUUCUUUCGAACUGUUGUUUAUGUGCCAGAUGGGCCAGUGAUGUUUUGCUUGAAAUAGAGACAACUGUGUGAUUACAAAAUGCAAUAAAAACCCCAAACACCUCUCUGGCUGAAAUGUG
rnacentral:lncRNA from 1 species